rnacentral:rRNA from 1 species
AUUGAACGCUGGCGGCAGGCCUAACACAUGCAAGUCGAACGAGUGGCGGACGUAUGAGUAAUGUCUGGGAAACUGCCUGAUGGAUGGGGAUAACUACUGGAAACUGUAUCUAAUACCGCAUACCAUCAGAUGUGCCCAGAUGGGAUUAGCUUGUUGGUGGGGUAACGGCUCACCAAGGCGACGAUCCCUAGCUGGUCGGAGAGGAUGAACAGCCACACUGGAACGGAGACACGGUCCAGACUCCUACGGGAGGCAGCAGUGGGGAAUAUUGCACAAUGGGCGAAAGCCUGAUGCAGCCAUGCCGCGUGUAUGAAGAAGGCCUUCGGGUUGUAAAGUACUUUAAGCGGGGAGGCGUUACCAGCAGAAGAAGCACCGGCUAACUCCGUGCCAGCAGCCGCGGUAAUAC